rnacentral:tRNA from 1 species
GGAGGGGUGGUCGAGUGGUCAAUGGCACUGGGCUGUAAACCCAGCGUUCUUAGGAACUACGUAGGUUCGAACCCUACCCCCUCCACCA